AAUCGUACGUAGAGUGUAAAGGCAAAAGAGAGCUUGAUUGCAAGACAUACAGGUCGAGCAAGGAUGAAAAUCGGACUUAGUGAUCCGGUGGUUCUGCGUGGAAGGGCCAUCGCUCAACGGAUAAAAGCUACCCUGGGGAUAACAGGCUUAUCUCCCCCAAGAGUCCACAUCGACGGGGAGGUUUGGCACCUCGAUGUCGGCUCAUCACAUCCUGGGGCUGUAGUAGGUCCCAAGGGUUGGGCUGUUCGCCCAUUAAAGUGGUACGCGAGCUGGGUUCAGAACGUCGUG
rnacentral:rRNA from 1 species